ACUUGGUACUGUAGGCCGAUUCCGGGU
rnacentral:piRNA from 1 species